GGAGAGGUGCAGGAGUGGUUGAACUGGCACGCCUGGAAAGUGUGUAUAGGAGAAAUCCUAUCAAGGGUUCGAAUCCCUUCCUCUCCGC
rnacentral:tRNA from 1 species